rnacentral:rRNA from 1 species
UACGGAGGGGGCUAGCGUUGUUCGGAAUUACUGGGCGUAAAGCGCACGUAGGCGGCUUUGCAAGUUAGAGGUGAAAGCCCGGAGCUCAACUCCGGAAUUGCCUUUAAGACUGCAUCGCUAGAAUUGUGGAGAGGUAAGUGGAAUUCCGAGUGUAGAGGUGAAAUUCGUAGAUAUUCGGAAGAACACCAGUGGCGAAGGCGACUUACUGGACACAUAUUGACGCUGAGGUGCGAAAGCGUGGGGGGCAAACAGG